CCCAGCAAUUCCAUUUCUGGGAAUCUCUCCUAAAGAAAUGAUCAGAAAUGAGGACAAAGAUUAAUGUACAGAGAUUUUAUCAUGCCAUUAUUUGUGGCAGCAAACAGCUGGAAGCAAGCCAAAUGUCCUGCAAUGAAUGAUUACAUCAUGGUGCAUCUAUAAACAUAAAGAUUUUACAGAUGGAGAAACUGAGGCCUCCAAAUUAUGGGCAAGGACUUAAAAUAAUUUUCACCUAACUAGAACAACAUAAGCUUUCUCAUCAGAAGUGGUAGUACUUGAAACUAUCAAAUCUGUUCUUACUCCACUAUAUGGUAUGUAUGUGGUGAGUCUAAGUCAGUAUCACAUUCACUCAGUUGGAGUAAGGGUUUACAGGAGUGCCAUGUUUGCCUACUCAUUGUAACUAGACAUGUGGCUAAAAUUAUGAUUGUACUUCAGUUUCACUGAAACUCAGUUGACACCAGCUAUUUUCCUAGAAUCCUCACACCAUGACUAGUUCUCAUCUUACUCUUCUCUUAUAGCCC
rnacentral:lncRNA from 1 species